rnacentral:rRNA from 1 species
GUACUUGGUGUUACUGCGAAGGGGGGACGGAGAAGGCUAUGUUGGCCGGGCGACGGUUGUCCCGGUUUAAGCGUGUAGGUGUGUGUUCCAGGUAAAUCCGGUUCACUUUAACACUGAGGCGUGAUGACGAGGCACUACGGUGCUGAAGCAACAAAUGCCCUGCUUCCAGGAAAAGCCUCUAAGCAUCAGGUAACAUCAAAUCGUACCCCAAACCGACACAGGUGGUCAGGUAGAGAAUACCAAGGCGCUUGAGAGAACUCGGGUGAAGGAACUAGGCAAAAUGGUGCCGUAACUUCGGGAGAAGGCACGCUGACACGUAGGUGAAGUGAUUUACUCAUGGAGCUGAAGUCAGUCGAAGAUACCAGCUGGCUGCAACUGUUUAUUAAAAACACAGCACUGUGCAAACACGAAAGUGGACGUAUACGGUGUGACGCCUGCCCGGU